GCCCGGUUAGCUCAAUUGGUAGAGCAUCAGACUUUUAAUCUGAGGGCCAUGGGUUCGAGUCCCAUAUCGGGCU
rnacentral:tRNA from 1 species